rnacentral:tRNA from 1 species
GGCCCGUGGUCAAGCGGUUAAGACACCGCCCUUUCACGGCGGUAACACGGGUUCGAGUCCCGUCGGGGUCA